UAAAUACAAUAAAAGCAAACAGAAGAAAAUACACUAUAUACAAUCUAACUUAAAGAAACUAAGUUAGAGGAAAAGGGUCUGUGUGUGUGUGUGUGUGUGUGUGUGUGUGUGUGUGUGUGUGUGUGUGUGGUGUGUGUGCUCGCAUGGGGUUUGCGCGCCAGGUACGCCUGGCGGUCCUGUAAGCCAGGGUGGUCAGAAUUGUGGUUCUGAAGUCCAAACAGUCUUUGCUGUGGGAUGUCCGCUGACGCAGGUAGUGUGGGUGUGUGAGCGGGGAGCGAAGGGAGAAGAGAAGAGAGAGAGAGAAGAGCCUCUCUCUGGCUUAAAUAGCCGGGAUGACGGGUCUGGGGUCCAAGGGAAUCUGACCAAUGAAAGGCCGGUGUUUAGGCGUUUAUUGCCCUUAUGACCUUGGGCAAUAAUACCUUGACCUCAUUCCUGGACCCCCACUGUGAGAUCUGUUAUCUGAGGAAAGACAUCUUUAAAGACGACGUCCUUCUUCAGUCCUCACAGAGAGAUGAGAGGAGCAGCUAUGAGUUUAAGUGCAGCAGCGAGUGGAUUUGUGUCUUCCUUCUCUCUGUGUCAGGUACUGUAUAUCUACAGUUACAUUCACUGCAUUAAAAGAGGGGGAUCUGGGUAAUGUGGAAAGAGUGGAUCAAAGUUGUGUGUUCUAGAAACGUUUCACACAUACUAU
rnacentral:lncRNA from 15 species